rnacentral:lncRNA from 1 species
CUGAAAUGCAGUUCUCACUUCUUCUGGGAUUAAAAUUAAUUACUAUUCAAAGGACAUUGACAGAAGUUGAGUAAUAAUACUAAGCAUAGUCUACGCUUAGUAUUAUUUCCUUCAUAUCAGCAGGUCUCUUAUUCAGGUUAUGAGACCACUUUGAAAUUAGUGGAGAGAAAAGUUAAUGCUAAACUAAUAUUUGUUUUUUUGCAAAUCAAGGAGAUAAGUCAUUUCAAUGUCCCUGAUGGUUCCAUCUAGAAAUAGAGAUCACAGGUGAUGAAGGAGAUGAUAAUGAUGGUGAUAAUAAGGAUGGCAGUAAUGAGAAAAGCUUCAAUCAACUGGGUGUCUAAUUUGGGACAUGUCUCAAUCAGAAUAGAAUAGCUUGAGGCACCAUGACACAGAAAACAAGGACACAUGACUUCAGAUACUUAAGAAAACUCAUGUCAUCAAAUCACAUCAAGAACAUUGGAUGGCACAUCAAGACCUUCGUAAUAACUCACUCACUGUAAAAUAUGGAGACUGGUAGUAUAUAUACCCUCAGAAAAAGUUAUUAUGAGAGUUCAAGAAAGUGGCCCUUGCAGAAUGCACAAAGCAGUACUGGUCACAUAGAGGCACUCAUCAGUAUUAUCUGUGUAUCAUCAAGAUCAUCAUCAUCCCCAUCACCAUGCCGAUCAUCCUUUCAACCAUGGAAUGCUGCUGACAUAAGCAAGUGACAAGUCACAUUCUGCUUGACGUCCUGGUGCUGUGGCUCACGCCUGUAAUCCCAGGACUUUGGGAG